rnacentral:rRNA from 1 species
UCUUCCCUCUGGCGGCGUGCCUAAUACAUGCAAGUCGAGCGAACAGACGAGGAGCUUGCUCCUCUGACGUUAGCGGCGGACGGGUGAGUAACACGUGGAUAACCUACCUAUAAGACUGGGAUAACUUCGGGAAACCGGAGCUAAUACCGGAUAAUAUAUUGAACCGCAUGGUUCAAUAGUGAAAGACGGUUUUGCUGUCACUUAUAGAUGGAUCCGCGCCGCAUUAGCUAGUUGGUAAGGUAACGGCUUACCAAGGCAACGAUGCGUAGCCGACCUGAGAGGGUGAUCCGGCACACUGGGACUGAGGACCGGUGCCGGCUUCUACGGGAGGCAGCAGUAGGGAAUCUUCCGCAAUGGGCGAAAGCCUGACGGAGCAACGCCGCGUGAGUGAUGAAGGUCUUCGGAUCGUAAAACUCUGUUAUUAGGGAAGAACAAAUGUGUAAGUAACUAUGCACGUCUUGACGGUACCUAAUCAGAAAGCCACGGCUAACUACGUG